AAAGAAAGGUGACUCAAAUAACAGAAGUUGUCAUUUGCUUUCAUAUUCUGAAUUCAUAUUUCUUCUUUAUUAUUAUUAUUAUUUUUAUCAUUAAAAAAGGCAAAAGUAAGAAACCAACAGCUCAUAAUUCCCUUGGCAGCACUGAGAUGUCUUUCUGGUUUUUUUUGUUUUUUAGGCUAUUUCUGUUGUUGCGAUGUUAAAGGAUACUUGCCUACUUGCCUGGAACCAUCCAAACUUUCCACUGAACUAUUAAAAAAAGGAAAAAGAAAAAGAAAAGCACAAUAGAAUAAACUGGAAAGAGCGUCUCUGUGCACAAAUGUCAGCACAGUGCUGGGCAUGGGAUUUGUAUUCAGACAAAGUCUUGCUCUUUUUUUCUGGCAAAAAAGCAUCUUACUUAAAACCAAAUGGCUUAUAAAACAAUGCAAAGAGACUGGGGAAGACCAUUUUAUUGUGAAGAACUUAAAAUGAAAAUAGCAACAUGUGAGAACUUUCAGUGGUCAGUGAUGGGAGCAGCCACAAGACGUUUUGGACGAUGAUCAGUGGGGACUGGAAACCAUUUAAUGGAAGCUAAAUAUCCAGCUCAAAAUAAUAUAUAUAUAUUCUCAGUUGUUGUGCUGUGGCCAGCAUGCAGCAAGUUCAGAGAUAACCAGCUCCCAACUCUCCAUCCCCCAACCCUUCAUCACCAUCAUUAGUCCCAGCUGUGAGCAAAAAGACUGGUGUAUGAUUGCCCUAGGAAAUGAGUUAUCCUUUCGCCUCUAGAUGAGCUGAAACAUAGUGAUGCCAUCAUUAGUCUCAGCUCUGUGAAUAUGCAGAAAGCCUCAAUAUUCUGCUGAAAUAGGAGGUGGGGUUCAGAUCCACACAGGGGGUAUCCAGACCAGGAAUUUUUUCAGCCUUCUUCCCCAGGGCAUCUGGUACUGCUUACGACCAGAAGUGCCACCAGAGGCACAAGAGCUGUGAGCCAUGCUGAAACUGCGCACAGAUGUGAGGCCAACAGCAGCGACAGAAAGGCUUUGUCAACACCAGCAAAUCACUGAAUCUACCUCUACAAGGUCAGCUUCUGAAGGCAGUGGGUCUAAGACCACAUCUCUACAACUGUCCUAAAGGAGUGCUGAACCCGUGUGCUUCACAGUGGUUAACCAGGAAGAGGAGGAAGGAUUGUCCUGUUCAAACAGUGCGGGCUGUUGCUCUGGAGUUGCCACUGCCUCAUUCUGCAAAUCUAUACUUCAUCCAAAACUUGAAUACCAUGUGUGAAAGAAGAAGGAAAUAGAAAUAAAUAGAAAAGACCCAGAAAAAUACA
rnacentral:lncRNA from 1 species